GUCAGCUUUGGUUCUGGUCUCAGCUGCAACUUCCCCAAGAAGCCCACCGUCUUCACACAAGUCAGCUCCUACAUAGACUGGAUCAACUCUAAAAUGGUGGCCUAUUAAUAAGGACAGCAUUUAAGGACCGAAACCAGACACACACAAUGAGAAAAGACACAUAAAAACAACAAAUAAAAUAUUUAAUUACUUUG